rnacentral:tRNA from 1 species
GUUUGUGGCUCAGUGGUAGAGUGCUUGCCUAGCAAGUGUGAGGACUGGGUUCGAUACCCAGCACCACA